GGGCCACACCACCGUGAACGUACCCGAUCUCUUCUGAUCUUGGAAGCUAAGCACGGUCGGGCCUGGUUAGUACUUGGAUGGGAGAAAGUGGGUUAGAUUGCUCU
rnacentral:rRNA from 1 species